rnacentral:rRNA from 1 species
UACGUAGGGGGCAAGCGUUGUCCGGAUUUAUUGGGCGUAAAGAGCGUGUAGGCGGCUGGGUAGGUCUGCUGUGAAAACUCGAGGCUCAACCUCGAGACGUCGGCGGAAACCCUCCAGCUAGAGUCCGGAAGAGGAGAAUGGAAUUCCUGGUGUAGCGGUGAAAUGCGCAGAUAUCAGGAAGAACACCCGUGGCGAAGGCGGUUCUCUGGGACGGUACUGACGCUGAGACGCGAAAGCGUGGGGAGCGAACAGG